UCCUCUGCUGCUUUCCCAGGCCACAAGCAGGGAGCUGGAUGAGGAGUGGAGCUGCCGGGACUAGAAUCUGCACCAAUAGAGGAUUCCCGCGUGUUCAAGGCGAGGACUUUAGCUGCUAGGCCACAGCGCUGGGCCCUGAAUUAUCUUCUUUAACUUUCUGGGAUAGUCUUUUGGUCUAGCAGUAAAGACACUCCUUCAGGUUUCCUUCAUCCGCAUCCAUGUGCCUGGCAGCGAGGUCAUGGCUUGAAUAGCUGGGUCCCUGCCGCUCAUGGGAAGACUCAUCCUGAGAUUCCAGGCCCUGGCUUUGGCAUGACCCAGCCUCAGGCGCUGAAACAACAUAUGGGUACACCAUCUGUCUCUCCUCUUCUCCCUGCCCUCUCAAGUUAGUAACUAAGUACCCUUCCUUGACAGUUUAUCCCACAACUGAAACACCUAGUGAUGCUUGGAAGGUUUGACUACCAGAGUCUGCAUCUGUCAGGUCUUCCGCCAGGUCUUUCUUGGGAUCUGACAUACUUGGGUAAGCAUCACCAGGGCUGUGGUUCUGCAAGGGAAGCUCGUGAGCACGGUGGAUCUGUCCCACGCUCCUUGGUUCUCUUCAUGCUCUUCAGAAGCCACAUGGAACAGAGUCCACUAACACAUGUGACACGUUAUUUUCAUUAUAGGAAUAUAUUUUGGCUUCCUUUCUAAUCCUUUUCAUUAAUUUCACUCUUUUAAAAAAUGUCAUUGGGUUAAGAAUUUAUUAGGUGCAAAGAGAUCAUAUUUUGGACCACCAAAUGCAGAAUGGAGACAGAACUGGAGAUAUGAGAAAGAAAGGAAGGAAGGGGAAAAAAAGAAAACGAAUAUAGGAAAGUUUUUAAAAACUGAAAAUGGGAGGGGGGAAAAUGAAGGGACAUACUUCCUGUUUCCUGGGGUUACCUAAAUGUUCUUCAUCCCAGCCUCGCCCUUCUUGUGGGGUCCACAGCCACACAGCCUUUUGAGUGUUUCUAAGGUCAAGCUUCCGAGCACUUUCUCAGGCACAGCAGGCUAAACCAGUAUUUGGGUAUAGUGUGGGUAUGCAAUAAAGGUUAAAACCAACCUGAGUCAAUUUUCUGGUUUCUUGGUUAAGUUCCUUUGAGUUGGCCAGAUAUUUUCACCUAACAAAUAAAUACGGGUUAAGUAUAUAGGUGUUGUCAGAAGGAAAAUGGUAGUAAAGAGACCUCUGCCCUCUAGGAACUCAAAGUUUAAUAACAGGGACAAAAAUAUCUUAGCCAAAGAGCCACAGAAGAUAGAACUUAAAUCUAAAUCUUACAGGCUGUAUCUUUAUUCUAGAGUGACAGAGUUAGCAAAGAAGUUAAACAUGAAAGGAAAAGAAAGAGCACAGAUGGAGAGACCAAAAGAGUACAUGAAUAAGCUAGCCAUAGUUCAUGAGAAAGCUAAGUACCAAAGAAGGACGUACCAAAGAAGGCUUUACGAAGUUCUCGUGUCUUCAAACAAAGGUGACCAAACUGUCUCCCCGUCUACUGUUUCUUGAUGGUUGAAAAUCCAACCCCAAGGGUAUUGAGCCUUCUGCACUUGCAAGUUGUUUCCCCUACUUCAGGCAAUCACUGAGGAAGUUGAGCACCUCGAAAUGCUGUCUGCUGAGUGCCUAGCCGUGUCUCACUCCUGCCAGCAUCACACACGGAAUCCUUGGUCAGUGACAGCAGUCACAGCGUGUUUGGCUUAAUGACAAAGGGUAGCUGGGCUCCAUUACCAAGGUCAUCCUUUUCUGGAAGCAAGCAAGUCCUAUGGCUCAGAGCCAAGAGCACCUGAGUUGGUGCAUGAAAUGGAUCCAGCAGAGCAGCAGAUUCAGUGCAGUGUGCUACAUGCCUGGCUCGAUCACGGUCGAAGGCAAUGCUUUAUUCAAGAGGAACAAAGACUUGGGAAUUUUCCUACUUUCACCUCAAUGUAUGGUGAACAUGGUAAAGCAACAGUAUUUAUUCCAUUUUCUAUAAUAAAUCUUCAUGAAUUCAUCUUGUCAAAAGCCAUAAAACACACACACACACACACACACACACACACACACACACACACACGCACACACACACACAUCAAAGCUUGGGGAAGGAUUAAUAACAUCCCAGCACUCAUAAACUGUCUAUUGAAUUCAUUUUUAGUGACCCAAAACAUUAGAAAUUCAGAUUAAAUGAAGACUAAGUAUAAACAGUGUCGAAGUAUCCUAGCCCAGCUCAGGAUGCAAAUUGACCUAAUUAUGCAGAUACUUGGAAUGACUGUCCUAACCCACAGGACUUAUGCAAGCAUGCAACAAGUUUACAUCCCACAGUACCCACGAAAUGACAGCUCUGUGGAAGAUGGUAGGCAGUGGGGACUGGGGAAGAAACGUCUAGCUCCAAAGAAGCCCACCAUCAAACUGAUUCCAACCACUGAUUUUCCAAGAUGAGAAAAUAGUUACUCCCUGUCAACAUACUUCUACAAUGCCUGGUUAAAGCCAGCAUCUUUCUGUGGUUCGACACACCACACGCUGCACUCAUAUAUGUCUCAUGUUUUCUUACACAGACUCUCUUAACACACCUCAAGGCAAGGGAAUAUGGGUUAUCCUUGGCCCUUAGGCAAUUCUAACGCACUUACACCUGAUCCAUGCUUGACUGUUACUUUGUCUCCCAACUCAUCAGUUACUCUCCCCUCCUUUAGUUCUAUAUAUAUGGCCUAAAUUCCUAAAACCCCAUA